rnacentral:other from 1 species
AAAAUCCUGCCUGAUACGUGAAUUGCGUUUAUAUAACCCUACAACAUUAUUUUUGGGAGCCUUACUCCAAAUGCUGUGUGCAGACCUCCCGAAUUCAUUCGGAAGUUGGGAGCCUAUGAUGCAAAUGGGCGGCACCCACCUGCUUAACUUAGUAGGCAGGUUAUCAUCAACGCAACACGGUUAGGCGGGUAUUUU